GAUGAAGAACGUAGCGAAAUGCGAUAAGUAAUGUGAAUUGCAGAAUUCAGUGAAUCAUCGAAUCUUUGAACGCACCUUGCACCCUUUGGUAUUCCGAAGGGUAUGCUCGUUUGAGUGUCAUUGUACUCUCACACUUCUAAUUCCUUUCGGGAUUGGGAGCGGUGGACUUGGGUGUUGCUGCUUUAGUUGUGGCUCACCUCAAAUAAGUUAGUGCAACUCUUGGUUGGACAUAGUACGGCGUGAUAAGUGUCUUCGACGGCGCCUCUGUAAGGAGGGUGGCCGAUCGGGAGCUCUGUGCUUCAAACCGUCUUCGGACAAUCUUUGACAACUUGACCUCAAAUCGAGUAGGACUACCCGCUGAACUUAAGCAUAUCAAUAAGCGGAGGA
rnacentral:misc_RNA from 1 species